rnacentral:misc_RNA from 1 species
GAAGAAGCCAAGAAUUUGAAAAGAAGAAAGCUUGGUAGUAAAAAGUGAAAACUAAGAGUAAAGCUUCUCUUUGCAGCUUCAGGCUCUUCGAUGUAUCCAAGCAUGAGUAGGAUAAUAAAGAAAAAAAGAAGAGAGAAGCUAGAACUCUGAAUAAAAAAAGUUAAAAAAAAGGUUGGAAAUGGAAAACCCAGGUGGGAAAACAGGUUAGACAGUGAU